GUGCUUGCUUCAGCAGCACACAUACUAAAAUAGGAGAAGAUUAGCAUGGCCCCUGCACAAGGAUGACACGCAAAUUUGUGAAGUGUUCCAUAUUAAA
rnacentral:snRNA from 1 species